rnacentral:tRNA from 1 species
CAGGGAGUGGCUUAAUAGAAACGCGUUUCUCUUACACUGAAAAGAUACCCGUGCAAGUCGGGUCUCCCUGA